AACACAUGCAAGUCGAGCGGUAACAGAGAGUAGCUUGCUACUUUGCUGACGAGCGGCGGACGGGUGAGUAAUGCUUGGGAACAUGCCUUGAGGUGGGGGACAACAGUUGGAAACGACUGCUAAUACCGCAUAAUGUCUACGGACCAAAGGGGGCUUCGGCUCUCGCCUUUAGAUUGGCCCAAGUGGGAUUAGCUAGUUGGUGAGGUAAUGGCUCACCAAGGCGACGAUCCCUAGCUGGUUUGAGAGGAUGAUCAGCCACACUGGGACUGAGACACGGCCCAGACUCCUACGGGAGGCAGCAGUGGGGAAUAUUGCACAAUGGGCGCAAGCCUGAUGCAGCCAUGCCGCGUGUGUGAAGAAGGCCUUCGGGUUGUAAAGCACUUUCAGUCAGGAGGAAAGGUUAGUAGUUAAUACCUGCUAGCUGUGACGUUACUGACAGAAGAAGCACCGGCUAACUCCGUGCCAGCAGCCGCGGUAAUACGGAGGGUGCGAGCGUUAAUCGGAAUUACUGGGCGUAAAGCGUACGCAGGCGGUUUGUUAAGCGAGAUGUGAAAGCCCCGGGCUCAACCUGGGAACUGCAUUUCGAACUGGCAAACUAGAGUGUGAUAGAGGGUGGUAGAAUUUCAGGUGUAGCGGUGAAAUGCGUAGAGAUCUGAAGGAAUACCGAUGGCGAAGGCAGCCACCUGGGUCAACACUGACGCUCAUGUACGAAAGCGUGGGGAGCAAACAGGAUUAGAUACCCUGGUAGUCCACGCCGUAAACGAUGUCUACUAGAAGCUCGGAACCUCGGUUCUGUUUUUCAAAGCUAACGCAUUAAGUAGACCGCCUGGGGAGUACGGCCGCAAGGUUAAAACUCAAAUGAAUUGACGGGGGCCCGCACAAGCGGUGAGCAUGUGUUUAAUUCGAUGCAACGCGAAGAACCUUACCUACACUUGACAUACAGAGAACUUACUAGAGAUAGUUUGGUGCCUUCGGGAACUCUGAUACAGGUGCUGCAUGCUGUCGUCAGCUCGUGUUGUGAGAUGUGGUUAAGUCCCGCAACGAGCGCAUCCCUAUCCUUAGUUGCUAGCAGGUAAUGCUGAGAACUCUAAGGAGACUGCCGGUGAUAACCCGGAAGAAAGGUGGGGACGAAGGU
rnacentral:rRNA from 1 species